rnacentral:rRNA from 1 species
CCUACGGGAGGCAGCAGUGGGGAAUAUUGGACAAUGGGGGCAACCCUGAUCCAGCCAUGCCGCGUGUGUGAAGAAGGCCCUCGGGUUGUAAAGCACUUUCAGUGAGGAAGAACGCCUGGUGGUUAAUACCCAUCAGGAAAGACAUCACUCACAGAAGAAGCACCGGCUAACUCCGUGCCAGCAGCCGCGGUAAUACGGAGGGUGCGAGCGUUAAUCGGAAUUACUGGGCGUAAAGCGCGCGUAGGUGGCUUGAUAAGCCGGUUGUGAAAGCCCCGGGCUCAACCUGGGAACGGCAUCCGGAACUGUCAAGCUUGAGUGCAGGAGAGGAAGGUAGAAUUCCCGGUGUAGCGGUGAAAUGCGUAGAGAUCGGGAGGAAUACCAGUGGCGAAGGCGGCCUUCUGGACUGACACUGACACUGAGGUGCGAAAGCGUGGGUAGCAAACAGGAUUAGAUACCCUUGUAGUC